GGCCCUGAUUGGAUGUACCAGUGAGUCCUUGGAUGGGAUGGGAUAUAUCUUCGUCAUCGCUGCAGCAACGAUCGAGGCCAGGCUGUCCAGUAAAAAUGGCAAGUGGAAAGGUUGGGAUAACACACAUUACAUUUCCAGAGGUGCUUAUUAUGUGCACCUAAGACUGGGCGACCACCAGAGUUGUUAACCUAUUGCAAGAAAGGGAAAAAUAAAGGGACUCAGAAAAACCAAACCUGCUGUGUUACAAUUUGUGACAGACUGCAUCAUGUAUGUUAUUUUUCUUUUGCUUAUAGUUGUUAUAUCAAGUUGCUUUCACCACAGUGAACUUUUGUAGAGUUGUAGGGUUUCUUAUAUAUUAAAAUGAUUAUUUUAUGUAUUUACUUAUUUAUUUUUACAGAGAAUAACAGAUAGUAUAGUAGUAUGUUUAAAAUGCAUAUGCCAUCAGCUUGGUUACUGCUAAACUGUUUGCUUUUUUAAAGGAAUUAGGAGAUUUGAAAUUGGAAAAAUAAAUGUUGCCAUGAAUUGACUAAUUUUGCUGUUGGCAAACUUUUCCUAAGUGGAGACUCUCAAUUUUGCAUUAAGCUGCAGGGUGAAGUAAACAAAAAUAAAAUAUUGAGGCAGAUUAGGUCAGGGAUGUUUGUAUCUUUUGUAUCCUUCAUGAGCCAUUUAACCACUUGCU